CUGAUCAUGACUGCCAUUUUUGUUUUUAGAAUUGUUUUUGGAUAAUGAAAACUACAGAUGAUUGAAUUCUUUAUAUUUAUUUCUCAUAAAUUUAAAUAAAAUAUUUAAAUUAUACAAUAUCCAUCCUACAUCAUCCAGUUGGAAAAUAGUUGAAUAAAUUAUAACCAAGAACAAGGCGGCUAGCAGUUGUCUCUUCGGAGACAUCCGAUAAAAUUGGAACGAUACAGAGAAGAUUAGCAUGGCCCCUGCGCAAGGAUGACACGCAAAAAUCGAGAAAUGAUUUUCCAAAAAUUCCUGAUUUACCUGCAAUCACAAUGUUCAAUUACUCUCACACGCACACUUGCCACUGUUUGAGCUGCCUUGCCAUGCUUAAGCAGAAUUCUGUGAUCAACAUCUCUUGCAACUGCCUCAAAACUGGUAAGAAGUGCGUUUAUGGCAUGUUGAGCUUGGCACGUACUUCAACUUGGUGUCCGAUCUGGUGACAUUGUUGCUGUCUCUGCUUUUAACUAGUCCAAUUUUAGCUAACACAAUUUCCAUAUUAUGUAAAUCUGUGACUUUUAGAUA